rnacentral:lncRNA from 1 species
GUUUCUGUAGGGUGUGGUCCCUGAAAAUGGGAGCUGCUCCAGGAAGGACUGGGCCUCAGGGAAGAGCCCUCGCCUCUGAGCUAGGAAGGAAGCGGAGGCCGGAAGCAGGAAGGCCUGGCCUGCUGCUCUGCCUGCCACUGCUGCAGCCGGUGUCCUGGGAUGACCGUGGGUGGCUGAGGGCAGGCUGCAGCCUCUCUGGCUACCUCUGACCUCUUUAGGAACAGUUCAUAGAAUCCCCAGGAAAACUCGGUUCCGAGCAUGCGCCGGCACACACCCGGAUUUCCUCUGUUUGGAACUCUAGAGGUAAUUUUCCAAUGUCAAAGGAGAAUGCUCUGAAGCCCUCUUGGACUGACACACCUCUACCCUCGGAGCUGGCGACCUCCCACAUCUUCGUUGAUCUCAGUUUCUGCUUCUUUAAAAUGGGUCCAGGCAGCAUCCACUCUCCAGGACAAUGAGACGAUGAGGGUGAUUGGACUUGCUGAUGGGUGGAGGAGUCAGGGCAGUUCACAGCCAUUUGACCAUCCCCCACCUGGGGAGUCUGGGGGUGAAGAAUGGACUGAGUGGUAUUCCAUUGCAAGUCAUCAUCCUCAUGCCAGCCAGCCUGGUGAUUUUUACCAGAGACUAGAAUGAAGACACAAAAGAUGUGUCCAGACAAACCUCAGAAGCACACAAUGUUCUGACAUAGCUGAUUUAUGAUCCAAAACUCUCUUCCCAGGUAGAAUUGCUAGCCCA